AGCCAAUAAAAAAUUUCCGUAACUUAAUUGCUAAUAUACUCCUCAAUAAAUUGGCUGGCUUCGCAUGUAAUACACUAAACAAUUAAAUGAAUAAUAUAGAGCAGAAUCAGAUACAAAUUGUAAAAAACUCACAGCAAACGUGAUGAAAGAGCAAGAAUGCUUUCCACGAUCCCACCUGCACCCAGCAACAUCAGAUAAUUUCUCUUCCAGAAGGCCUCUUUGUACCACAAAAAACUGUCCUUAACCGCCACUGCUGGAUUUGCCGCAUCUUUUACUAAAUUCUUGGAACCCACUGCAUUCUUUAAAGAAAAGUAUCUGAACCCAAUAAAAUUUCUGUUCGGCGAAAAUUCCGCAUUUGGGUACAGUUUGUCGAAAAUUCUUGCAACAUUGGGCGAUGAUGAGAAAUGGGUUCUCGAAGAAAUUAAUAGCCAAGUACGAAACGUGAGAAUUUGGACGAUGUUUAGGUUAUUUGGCGAGGAUUUCAAUGCAGUGAGCUGGAAAUAUCUGAAAAUUAUUCUUGAUGACGAGGGUUCUGACAUUUUCUUCUUUCCUUUUGGUUUUAUUUCUCGUGUAGAUGGAUAUAGAUUUAGAUUCACGAAAUCACAAACUCGAAGUACAAUUGAUUGCCUCGUUUGAAGAAAAUCAAUCAACCCAUUUCCUCAAGAUGCCUACGUGACUCCUAUAUAGAGGUGCAAGCGAGUUGGGUGACUCGCUG
rnacentral:lncRNA from 1 species